UUAUUCCUAGUGAAAUCAAUUCCAGCAUACUUUGUUGGCAUGGACCCGAAAGCUCAAAGAAUAGAUUAGCUGGAUGAAAGAGGUUUAAAAAACUUUCUUCUGCAAUGGUGACUUCCCCCUUCAGGUUAAUUAUGAUCA